rnacentral:rRNA from 1 species
UGAGUGCGAGCUGCUACGGCAGCGAAGUUGGUGACGUCAUGCUUCCAAGAAAAGCCCUAUACCCGUUAAGGCAUCAUGGCCUGUACCCGAAACCGACACAGGUGGGGUGGUAGAGAAUACCGAGGGGCGCGAGGUAACUCUCUCUAAGGAACUCGGCAAAAUGACCCCGUAACUUCGGGAGAAGGGGUGCCACCGCAAGGUGGUCGCAGUGAAGAGGCCCAGGCGACUGUUUACCAAAAACACAGGUCUCCGCUAAGUCGCAAGACGAUGUAUGGGGGCUGACGCCUGCCCAGUGCCGGAAGGUUAAGGAAGCUGGUCAGCGUAAGCGAAGCUGGCGACUGAAGCCCCGGUGAACGGCGGCCGUAACUAUAACGGUCCUAAGGUAGCGAAAUUCCUUGUCGGGUAAGUUCCGACCCGCACGAAAGGCGUAACGAUCUGGGCGCUGUCUCGGAGAGAGGCUCGGCGAAAUAGAAUUGUCUGUGAAGAUGCGGACUACGUGCACCCGGACAGAAAGACCCUAUGAAGCUUUACUGUAGCUUGGUAUUGUGCCCGGGCUCUGAAUGCGCAGGAUAGGUGGGAUGCUUUGAUCAACAGCUUGCGGGUUGUUGUGAGCCAACGGUGAGAUACCACUCCUUCAGAGCUAGGGUUCUAACAGUCACCCGUUAUCCGGGGACUGGACAGUAUCUGGUGGGCAGCUUGACUGGGGCGGUCGCCUCCUAAAAGGUAACGGAGGCGCGCAAAGGUUUGCUCAGGCUGGUUGGAAAUCAGCCGACGAGUGUAAAAGCAGAAGCAAGCUUGACUGUGAGACCUACAAGUCGAACAGGGAGGAAACUCGGCUUUAGUGAUCCGACGGUUCUGCGUGGAAGGGCCGUCGCUCAACGGGUAAAAGCUACUCUAGGAUAACAGGCUGAUCUCCCCCAAGAGUUCACAUCGACGGGGAGGUUUGGCACCUCGAUGUCGGCUCAUCGCAACCUGGGGCUGAAGUCGGUCCCAAGGGUUGGGCUGUUCGCCCAUUAAAGCGGUACGCGAGCUGGGUUCAGAACGUCGUGAGACAGUUCGGUCCAUAUCCGGUGCAUGCGCAGGAAUAUUGGGAGGAUUUCUCCCUAGUACGAGAGGACCGGGAGGAACGCACCUCUGGUGUACCAGUUAUCGUGCCAACGGUAAACGCUGGGUAGCCAUGUGCGGAGUGGAUACCCGCUGAAAGCAUCUAAGUGGGAAGCCCACCUCAAGAUGAGUAUUCCCAUGGCGUUAGCCAGUAAGGUCACGGGAAGAACACCCGUUGAUAGGCUCUAUGUGGAAGCGCAGUAAUGCGUGAAGCAGAGGAGUACUAAUAGACC